AGCAGCCGCGGUAAUUCCAGCUCCAAUAGCGUAUAUUAAAGUUGCUGCAGUUAAAAAGCUCGUAGUUGAAUUUCGGGACUAAUAUGUCGGUCGUGCCUCGGUACGUACUGGCUUAUUGGUUUCUCCUUUCUGAAGAACCAUGAUGUCAUUUAUUUGGUGUCGUGGGGAAUCAGGACUGUUACUUUGAAAAAAUUAGAGUGUUUAAAGCAGGCUCACGCUUGAAUACAUUAGCAUGGAAUAAUGAAAUAGGACGUUUGAUUCUAUUUUGUUGGUUUCUAGGAUCGACGUAAUGAUUAAUAGGGAUAGUUGGGGGCAUUAGUAUUCAAUUGUCAGAGGUGAAAUUCUUGGAUUUAUUGAAGACUAACUACUGCGAAAGCAUUUGCCAAGGAUGUUUUCAUUAAUCAAGAACGAAAGUUAGGGGAUCGAAGACGAUCAGAUACCGUCGUAGUCUUAACCAUAAACUAUGCCGACUAGGGAUCGGAUGAUGUUAAUUUUUUAAUGACUCAUUCGGCGCCUUAC
rnacentral:rRNA from 1 species